GCAAACUUGGUCAUUUAGAGGAAGUAAAAGUCGUAACAAGGUUUCCGUAGGUGAACCUGCGGAAGGAUCAUUAUUGAACUUUGAACCUUGUAGUUGAGCUGGCUCUUCGGGGCAUGUGCUUGCUGCAUUGUUUUUUGUUUCCACCUGUGCACCUUUUGUAGACUGUUGGAUAACUAUUGCUUAGCUGGCAACAGCUAAGGCAGAUUGCUGGGUUAGUUGUAAUGACUUCCCGGUGCUUUCCAGUGGUCUAUGUUUAUAUCAUUUCAAAAAGUAUAGAAUGUCUUCGUUAAUGGACUAACGUCCUAUAACAACUUAAUACAACUUUCAACAACGGAUCUCUUGGCUCUCCCAUCGAUGAAGAACGCAGC
rnacentral:misc_RNA from 1 species